UUGAACCACCUCCGGUGGCAGGCUGUUCCAGACCUUGGGGGCUCGGACAGUAAAGAAGUUCUUCCUUAUGUCCAGCCUGAAACGAUCUUGAAGUAGUUUGUGACCAUCAAACAUGAGGUAUUCAAACACAUGAGGUAUUCAAACACUCUCACAGGCAAAGACAGUGGAUGAUCUGGACCGGAUACCAGUCUGGAUCAUCCUGAUACUUUUAUGAGAUGAAAGAAAAAAGAAUGUCCUUCUAAUAUCUCAUUAGACCACAAAACAGCCAUUCCCCAGGGCUGUGUGGAUGGCAUCCGAGAGUUAUUGUAAAGAAUACAACAGAACAUCUAAACUUCUAAAUUAUCUGGGUGAAAAUUCUUGUCUCCUGAGAACAUGAGCUCUUCCCCAGUUAAUUUUAGUAGAGAAUGCCACAAGCUUGAAACUCAAUGCCUGUGUUAUCAGAUCAUCUCGCCUUGAAUAUAGCUCCUCAAUGCUCUUCAAAUUUCAUGCAAUACCCAGGUGUUUCAAGCAAAAUAUGGAGGCAUUCGUGAAACAUUUGCAAAGGUUUCCACAUUUUUUUUCACCAGUUCUAGAGUAAGUUGUCAUUUUUCAAAGUUGUAUAAAUGUCAAAAUUUGGGAAAAACUGAGGAAAUAUUCCUCCUUCUAUUUCCAUCCAUUUCCUGGCCCUACAUUAGUUAGUGGUAUCCCUCCUGAUGAGCAUGUGUGGUCUGUGAAGCCUGUGCUUCUCGCAUUGCUACUUUGGGUACUCAUAUAUUUUUACACCUCACAUUCACAUGUUGGGGUUUUUUUUUGAUGUGUGCUGUGUGAUUGAGUGAUUGACGCCUCUUACAUCUAUGACUAAUUUAUAGUAAUUAUAGCAAAUUCUUAUAAAUUAAUACAUUCCAAUGAUGUGCAACUGUUGAAAAGGAAUGUGUGGUACUGCCUUAAGUGAACUCCAUCUUCUGAUUAUUCCCAGGUCUUCACCAACUUUCCAGCCAGAAGGAGCCAGCCUUGAGAUUCCUCUCCCCUCUUGAGGCUGGUCCCAGUAUAGGACCUGACCGUGCAUAAUUCAGAUCGUGUGAUACUGUGCGCUGGCAUGUUUAUAGCAGGAGAAAGGACCCAUCUUCCCACAAGCCCCAGUGCAGGUGAAUCAGUUCCAUCUACUGCCAUUAGCUCCAUCUCUCCUCAACUCCAAGCCAGCAUGAAAGCUCCACCUUAUCUUAAAAUCAUAGAAAAACAGGGUUGGAUUGGAUCUCAGGAGGUUCAUGUAGUCCAAGUCCCUACUGAAGGCAGGACCCAUAUUGUCUAAACCAUCUCACACAAAUGUCUAACUUGGAUUUAAAAUAUUUCUAAUGGUGGAGAUUUCACAACUUCUCUAGGAAAUUUGCUCCAGUGCUGCACAAUCCUUAGAGUUACAAAGUUCUUCUAAUAUCCACCUAAAAUGUCCCUCAUUGCAAAUUUAAGACCAGUACUUCUUGUCUUGUUCCUGGAAGCCACAGAAAAUAUCUAUCCCCAUCUUCUUCCUAACCAGCUUUCAGAUACUUGAAGACAUUGCUCUCCUUAGUCUUCUCUUCUCCAGACUAAAUAAACCCUCUUCUGCCAGCCUUUUCUCCAUGUUUCUCAGCCCUCUCAUCAUUAUUGUUGCUCUUUUUGGACUCCUGUCAAUUUGUCUACACCUAUCUUAUGGCAUGGUAGAUGGAUUUGUCUUUAUCAGGUGAUCCCAACUCUACUUAAACCCCAGAAAAUGGAGCAGUUUGAGAUGAUAAAAGGCUGAAGACUGGAUUUCUAUCUAAGAAGUACAGAGGACAUCUCUUUAGGCAGAAGGAAGAAGAGGCAUUAGCCCAUGCUGCCAGCCUCUACCACUCCUGAGUUAGAUUGUCAGUCACCUGUCAAAGUACUCCAUCAUUGUCCUUCGUAUUUCCCCUGAACACUUUCUCUUGCAGCAAUGACUGCAAAAAACCUUGACAACAGUUGGUUGUCCAGAGACCACUUCCUGACAUCCUGAAUGAAACUGUUGAACUCCCUCUGUGACUGUUUGCAUCCACCUGUUGCCUCCUGUCUUAUAUUCUGGCUGCAAAUCCAUUGGGAAAGGGCUGUCUUUUGCAUCUGUGUAUGUACAGCUCCUGGCAUAUGUAGAUCCCAUCCAUAAGUGAUCCUACUAGGUACUAUGGUAAUGAAAGUUUGAGAUGGCACCAAUGAUGACAACAAAGAAUAGCAAUGCUAAUGCUAACUCCCCCAAAAUGUUAGUAGAAGCAUUAGAGAAGCUCCCCAAAUUGUGCAAAUCAUUAAAAAAAUCAUGAGGCAUUUGAAUACUUGUAUUCUGUUUGCUCAAGGCAUUCAUAAAUAAAUGACUCCAACCCUGAAUGUGGGAAAAAGUGCUGCCGAAUUGUCAGGCACAGAAUAUAUUGUAAAUAUAAAGUAAAACUAUACAUGCAUUGGCAUUCGCAGAUUCAGUCGAAAGUCACUUUAGAUUCACACAGGCAGAUUCAACACAUUCAUCUAUCUCACAAUAUGUAGGGGGUGAGUGGGUAGGGUUCUGUGCGCCUGGGUGCAUUUAAACUCAAAGAGGCCAUAUUUUCUAGCAUCCCUCCAUGGCCACCAAUUCAUUAAAAAAUAGGGCAGAAGGGGCCCUCAAGAGACCCAUCUAAUGCAAUGGAGAUCAGUCUUUUAGAGCAUCAAGUCAGGUGCAUAAGACCUGGAUGCUUUAUGAGGCCAGGGAUCCCCUUUGCUAGGUGACAUGGGGAGGGAGAAAAGGAGGGUGUUGGCUGCCAAGGUCAGAGGGAGGGGAGGGAGAGCAGGGAGUGAAUACAACUUACUUCUGGUAAGCAGUGCUUGUCUAGGAAAAGGGUGAGGGAGAAGAAGACGGAGAAAGUAAGGAGCAUCUGCCUUGGUGAGGGGAGAGGGAGAGAGCAAGGUGGGCUGUGGAGGGGAUCAGCAUCGUAGCACAGGGCAGGGAAGGAGAUCCGCCAGGCCUAGCUGAAUGCUACUGAUUCCCCAUGCCUGCUGACCAGAUCCAGGCACUUCAGGAGCCAGAUUUGGCCCACAGGCUAUACAUUGGGCACCAACCCCCUGCUCCAGGUGGGAUCACCCCUAUCUAAAAUCAUCCCAGACAAAAGUCCGUCUAUCCUGCCCUAUAAACAUUUCCAGGGACAGAGAUCCCCCAGCCUCUCUAGGUAAUCUAUUCUGGUGCUUAACCAAUGGUAGGGCCAGGGAUUUAAAACAUGCCCAUAGUGGCUGAGAUGCUCAUAUAACCACAUGCCUGGGGCUUUAGGAGAGCACAUGCAUUUCUGGAUCAAGUCAGGAGAAUGGGGAAUGCUGCAUGGGAGGACUAAGGCUCAUGGCUGGAGCGGUGCAAAUGGCCCGGCUAUGAGGACCAAGAAGGAGGGAAGUCCUGGAAACUUCUGGAGGCAAGAUGCUGAACACCCAGAAGUUGAGGGGUCCCUAUCCCCAUCCCCCGGGUCCCUGAGGCCACCAUGGACCAAGGGCAUAUGACCAGCCCAUCUCAUGCACCCCACUGGAGGGGGACUGUGGGCCUCAGCAUCCCACCUCCAGACUGCUGACACCGAAGAGAGAGAGCCUCAGAAGUGAAGCUUGCAUCCUGAUCAGAUGUACUUUGACUUUGACGAC